CCAAAGGCUCUUUUAAGAGCCGUCCAAGUUUUUUUAGAAAGAGUUAG
rfam:Gavia stellata contig34055, whole genome shotgun sequence.